CCCCACCCCGUUCAAUUUGAGAAUGUGCUAUUAUCUUGUAAACGGUCCAGAUCCCCACCCCUAAACCAUAUAUAUUCUUGUAGGAGACAAUAAAACAAAUGAAAUGAAAUUAAAGGGAAGUCCCUAGGGGGUCACCCCACCCCCUCCUGUUUCAAAACUUGUAAUCGGUCAACAUCCCCACCCCUAAACCAUAUAUAUUCUUG
rnacentral:lncRNA from 1 species